UACAUGGGGUGCAAACGUUGCUCGGAAUUAUUGGGCGUAAAGCGCGCGUAGGCGGUUGCCUAAGUCGGACGUGAAAGCCCUCGGCUUAACCGAGGAAGUGCAUCCGAAACUGAGCAGCUAGAGUACGAAAGAGGGUCGCGGAAUUCCCGGUGUAGAGGUGAAAUUCGUAGAUAUCGGGAGGAACACCGGCGGCGAAGGCGGCGACCUGGGUCGAGGACUGACGCUGAGGCGCGAAGCGUGGGGAGCAAACAGG
rnacentral:rRNA from 1 species